AACAGUAAUAUUCCAACAACCAAAUUUUUAAGUGCUGCAACGGUCAAAUUAUUUAUUGGUUUUAAUUUCUUUUAUUUAUUUUAUUCUUUCCUAGCUCUAUAAAUAGAGAACUCUUCCCCCAUUUCAAAACAGAACAAGUUGAGUCUUUCUCAUUCUCCUAUCUCUUCUUAGUUUUAUUCUCUUUUCAUCCUGGGUAUAAACUCUAUCAGAGUUUCUUGCUUCUUGCUAGUUCUGUGAUCCUCGAAUACAUUUCGAGAAGUUCCAAUUGUAUCCUAGGGGACUUGCGC
rnacentral:lncRNA from 1 species